rnacentral:misc_RNA from 1 species
AUGAGAACUUGCCCUUCGGGGUAGAUCUCCCACCCUCUGUCUACAUACUUUGUUGCUUUGGCAGGCCCGUCUUCGGACCGCCGGCUUCGGCUGGUCUGCGCCUGCCAGAGGACCCAAAACUCUGAAUUAUAGUGUUGUCUGAGUACUAUAUAAUAGUUA